UGGAUGCCAAGGCUCUGGGAAGGGGCGAGAGAUGAGGCCUUCCCUGACCACCGCGGGCCUCCUCCUCUGGGUCCUCGUCAUGUGCUGCCCCCCACCCCCACCUCUUCCUUGCUAGCCAUGGGGAACCUUCUGCUGCUCUUCUGGUUGUGACCUUGGCUAGAGACUUAUUUCCACUUCUCAGCUUCUGCCCCUGUGUUCAGACUUUCCCAUACUCCUUGUCACUGGUGCAGAGGACCAAUGGCACAGCUCAGCAUGGAACUAUGCUUACCUUUCCUAGAGUGCCAGGAAGUAGCCCCGCGGUGCCCGCCGCUGAGCUCAGUGCCCCAGCACAAUGACUUCAAGCUGAAAGGGAUUCCCUCCCU
ensembl:processed_transcript